CAGUGCCUCCAAGCCCUACAACCUAGCAGGCCUCACAGGCUCCCUCUCCAGACAUGGUCGCACACCAGCGAGUCGUAAGAACCGGCUUUUCCCUUUAUGUUUUCCUCACAAAUUUGGUCUGAAACAGGCUAGGUUUCCGCUGUUUGUUUUGGUCUACCACUGUGGCUGUGUUGCUGUGGUUUCUAAAUGCUUCCAAUUUUCAAUAAUACCACUCAGUUAUUAGUUAUUAUGGAAUUUCUAGGAGGGAAGAAAUGUUACUAACUGAUUUGUUGCAGCAAUUUCAUCCUAUUGCAGUACCAUGCUCGAAUUCAACGAUCUCUUUACAAUUGCCCAUUCUUUCACAAAUGUUUAUAAAUGUAGACUGCAUGGCGACAUGCUUUUUAUUUAUUUUUUAAAUUUUUUUUUACACCUGUGGCAAUAGAACUGAAUGAAACCUGAAUUCAGUGAUUUAAGAGGCAUGUCCCAAUGUUUCUGCCAAUAUAGUAUAAAUACCCAAAGUCUUUGCUUUGCCUAAUAUGUUUUGGUAGAUUAAAUGGUUAAGUGGCUAGCCUUAAAAUGCUUACAUCAUUAUUUUGUCUUCCACAUGGCUGACUUGCUUUGAAAUAUUAAUGUAGGUCCAUUUAUACUGGUAUCUGCUUAUAUUGUACAGAGAAACUGAAAACUGUCCUGUAGUAAUUGUAAUGCCAACCAGCUGCAUGUGUUUCUGAGGCGGACAUGUAAAUGUUUCAUUAAAAACAUAAUAUAAUGCUUUACAGAAUCAUAUGCACACACAUGCAUAUGGUUUUACAUAUAAGGUAAAGUCAUUAAAAAAGGACCUGGUCCUUAACAUGUUUUAAAAUGAGGUAAAUACAACCUCAGAUGAAAAACACAUGACAAAUUAAGUGUUAUUAUUAAUUUAACAAAAACUAUGACAAAAUGCUGAAGCAGUGUGUGACAAAUUAAGCACAGGCUUAUUGCUUCUAUAUGAAUUAAGAGGGCAAGGAGCAGACGGGUCCUGCCAAACAAAUGUCCUUGAUUAAAUGUUCAUCAGUAAAUGUGACCACGUCUAUAAAAAGCAGAAGUUUGUUGGUGUGGAGCAUUCAGGUGUGUAUUAACACAGAGGACAGACAUCAGCAAGGAUCUGAGGGAAGCAAUUGUUGCUGCCCAUCAAUCUGGGAAUGGUGAUUUCCAAGAAGGGUCAAAGUCCAUUAUACUACAAUGAGAGAGAUUAUUCACAAGUGAAAACAUUCAAGACCUCAGGCCCUUCUUAACUAUCGUUUGCUUUGGGUUGUCUUACAUUUACAGCAUUUCAGUGAGUCUUUGAACCAAAGCAACUUACAAAUGUGACUGAAUACAAUUCAAGAAGUUGAGCGCCUUGCUCAAGCAACUUUCUGUGUACUAGUCAAGUACCUUAACAACCGAGCUACCACUGCCUCCACGUUUCUCCUUCAUUAAACCUGUCGCUCGAGUUUUC